rnacentral:rRNA from 1 species
CCUGGUUGAUCCUGCCAAUAGUCAUAUGCUUGUCUCAAAGAUUAAGCCAUGCAUGUGUAAGUAAUAACAAAUUCAGACUGUGAAACUGCGAAUGGCUCAUUAAAUCAGUUAUAGUUUGUUUGAUGGUAUCCACUACUCGAAUAACCAUAGUAAUUCUAGAGAUAAUAUGUGGAACAAAGCCUAACUUAUGGAAGGGGUGCAUUUAAUAGAUAAAAGGUCAACACGGGCUCUGCCCGUUGUUGGGAAGAUUCAUGAUAACUUGACGAAUUGCACGACCAUCAUGCCGGUGAUGUAUUAUUCAAAUUUCUGCCCUAUCAACUUUCGAUGGUAGGAUAGUGGCCUACCAUGGUGGUGAUGGGUGAAAGAGAUUUAGGGUUCUAUUUUAGAUAGUGAGUCUGACAAAUGGCUACCACAUCCAAGGAAGGCAGCAGGCGCGCAGAUUACCCAAUCCUGACACGGGGAGUUAGUGACAAUAAAUAACAAUAUCGGGCUCAAUGAGUCUGGUAAUUGGAAUGAGUAGAAUCUAAAUCCCUUAAAGAGGAUCCAUUAGAGGGCAAUUUUAAUGCCAGCAGCCACGGUAAUUCCAGCUCCAAUAGCGUAUAUUUAAGUUGUUGCAGUUAAAAAGAUCAUAGUUGGACUUUAGGAUGGGCCGUCUGGUCAGCUAAUGGUGUGCACCGAUCGUCUCGUCCCUUCUGUCGACAAUGCACUCUUGGCAUUAACUUACCGGGUCGUGCCUCCGCUGCUGUUACUUUGAAGAAAUUAGAGUGCUCAAAUCAAGCCUACGCUCUAUAUACAUUAGCAUGGGAUAACAUUAUAGGAUUUCGGUCCUAUUACAUUGGCCUUUUGGAUCGGAGUAAUGAUUAACAAGGACAGUCAGGGGCAUUCGUAUUUCAUAGUCAGAGGUGAAAUUCUUGCAUUUAUUAAAGACGAAAAACUAUGAAAUCAUUUGCCAAGGAUGUUUUCAAUAAUCAAGAACGAAAGUUGGAGGCUCAAAGAUGAUCAAAUACCGUCCUAGUCUCAACCAUAAACGAUGCCGACUAGGGAUUGACGAAUAUUGCUUUUAGGACUCUGCCGGCACCUUAUGAGAAAUCAAAGUUUUUGGGUUUCGGGAAGAGUAUGGCCAUAAGGCUGAAACUUAAAGGAAUUGAUGGAAGGGCACCACCAGGAGUGAAUCCUGCAGCUUAAUUU